rnacentral:rRNA from 1 species
ACACAAAAAUGCACAUACUGUGAGCUCGAUGAGUAGGGCGGGACACGUGGUAUCCUGUCUGAAUAUGGGGGGACCAUCCUCCAAGGCUAAAUACUCCUGACUGACCGAUAGUGAACCAGUACCGUGAGGGAAAGGCGAAAAGAACCCCGGCGAGGGGAGUGAAAAAGAACCUGAAACCGUGUACGUACAAGCAGUGGGAGCACGCUUAGGCGUGUGACUGCGUACCUUUUGUAUAAUGGGUCAGCGACUUAUAUUCUGUAGCAAGGUUAACCGAAUAGGGGAGCCGAAGGGAAACCGAGUCUUAACUGGGCGUUAAGUUGCAGGGUAUAGACCCGAAACCCGGUGAUCUAGCCAUGGGCAGGUUGAAGGUUGGGUAACACUAACUGGAGGACCGAACCGACUAAUGUUGAAAAAUUAGCGGAUGACUUGUGGCUGGGGGUGAAAGGCCAAUCAAACCGGGAGAUAGCUGGUUCUCCCCGAAAGCUAUUUAGGUAGCGCCUCGUGAAUUCAUCUCCGGGGGUAGAGCACUGUUUCGGCAAGGGGGUCAUCCCGACUUACCAACCCGAUGCAAACUGCGAAUACCGGAGAAUGUUAUCACGGGAGACACACGGCGGGUGCUAACGUCCGUCGUGAAGAGGGAAACAACCCAGACCGCCAGCUAAGGUCCCAAAGUCAUGGUUAAGUGGGAAACGAUGUGGGAAGGCCCAGACAGCCAGGAUGUUGGCUUAGAAGCAGCCAUCAUUUAAAGAAAGCGUAAUAGCUCACUGGUCGAGUCGGCCUGCGCGGAAGAUGUAACGGGGCUAAACCAUGCACCGAAGCUGCGGCAGCGACGCUGAUGCGUUGUUGGGUAGGGGAGCGUUCUGUAAGCCUGUGAAGGUGUGCUGUGAGGCAUGCUGGAGGUAUCAGAAGUGCGAAUGCUGACAUAAGUAACGAUAAAGCGGGUGAAAAGCCCGCUCGCCGGAAGACCAAGGGUUCCUGUCCAACGUUAAUCGGGGCAGGGUGAGUCGACCCCUAAGGCGAGGCCGAAAGGCGUAGUCGAUGGGAAACAGGUUAAUAUUCCUGUACUUGGUGUUACUGCGAAGGGGGGACGGAGAAGGCUAUGUUGGCCGGGCGACGGUUGUCCCGGUUUAAGCGUGUAGGCUGGUUUUCCAGGCAAAUCCGGAAAAUCAAGGCUGAGGCGUGAUGACGAGGCACUACGGUGCUGAAGCAACAAAUGCCCUGCUUCCAGGAAAAGCCUCUAAGCAUCAGGUAACAUCAAAUCGUACCCCAAACCGACACAGGUGGUCAGGUAGAGAAUACCAAGGCGCUUGAGAGAACUCGGGUGAAGGAACUAGGCAAAAUGGUGCCGUAACUUCGGGAGAAGGCACGCUGAUAUGUAGGUGAAGCGACUUGCUCGUGGAGCUGAAAUCAGUCGAAGAUACCAGCUGGCUGCAACUGUUUAUUAAAAACACAGCACUGUGCAAACACGAAAGUGGACGUAUACGGUGUGACGCCUGCCCGGUGCCGGAAGGUUAAUUGAUGGGGUCAGCGCAAGCGAAGCUCUUGAUCGAAGCCCCGGUAAACGGCGGCCGUAACUAUAACGGUCCUAAGGUAGCGAAAUUCCUUGUCGGGUAAGUUCCGACCUGCACGAAUGGCGUAAUGAUGGCCAGGCUGUCUCCACCCGAGACUCAGUGAAAUUGAACUCGCUGUGAAGAUGCAGUGUACCCGCGGCAAGACGGAAAGACCCCGUGAACCUUUACUAUAGCUUGACACUGAACAUUGAGCCUUGAUGUGUAGGAUAGGUGGGAGGCUUUGAAGUGUGGACGCCAGUCUGCAUGGAGCCGGCCUUGAAAUACCACCCUUUAAUGUUUGAUGUUCUAACGUUGACCCGUGAUCCGGGUUGCGGACAGUGUCUGGUGGGUAGUUUGACUGGGGCGGUCUCCUCCUAAAGAGUAACGGAGGAGCACGAAGGUUGGCUAAUCCUGGUCGGACAUCAGGAGGUUAGUGCAAUGGCAUAAGCCAGCUUGACUGCGAGCGUGACGGCGCGAGCAGGUGCGAAAGCAGGUCAUAGUGAUCCGGUGGUUCUGAAUGGAAGGGCCAUCGCUCAACGGAUAAAAGGUACUCCGGGGAUAACAGGCUGAUACCGCCCAAGAGUUCAUAUCGACGGCGGUGUUUGGCACCUCGAUGUCGGCUCAUCACAUCCUGGGGCUGAAGUAGGUCCCAAGGGUAUGGCUGUUCGCCAUUUAAAGUGGUACGCGAGCUGGGUUUAGAACGUCGUGAGACAGUUCGGUCCCUAUCUGCCGUGGGCGCUGGAGAACUGAGGGGGGCUGCUCCUAGUACGAGAGGACCGGAGUGGACGCAUCACUGGUGUUCGGGUUGUCAUGCCAAUGGCACUGCCCGGUAGCUAAAUGCGGAAGAGAUAAGUGCUGAAAGCAUCUAAGCACGAAACUUGCCCCGAGAUGAGUUCUCCCUGACUCCUUGAGAGUCCUGAAGGAACGUUGAAGACGACGACGUUGAUAGGCCGGGUGUGUAAGCGCAGCGAUGCGUUGAGCUAACCGGUACUAAUGAACCGUGAGGCUUAACCUU